rnacentral:rRNA from 1 species
GAUGAACGCUGGCGGCGUGCCUAAUACAUGCGAGUCGAGCGAACAGACGAGGAGCUUGCUCCUCUGACGUUAGCGGCGGACGGGUGAGUAACACGUGGAUAACCUACCUAUAAGACUGGGAUAACUUCGGGAAACCGGAGCUAAUACCGGAUAAUAUAUUGAACCGCAUGGUUCAAUAGUGAAAGACGGUUUUGCUGUCACUUAUAGAUGGAUCCGCGCCGCAUUAGCUAGUUGGUAAGGUAACGGCUUACCAAGGCAACGAUGCGUAGCCGACCCGAGAGGGUGAUCGGCCACACUGGAACUGAGACACGGUCCAGACUCCUACGGGAGGCAGCAGUAGGGAAUCUUCCGCAAUGGGCGAAAGCCUGACGGAGCAACGCCGCGUGAGUGAUGAAGGUCUUCGGAUCGUAAAACUCUGUUAUUAGGGAAGAACAAAUGUGUAAGUAACUAUGCACGUCUUGACGGUACCUAAUCAGAAAGCCACGGCUAACUACGUG